rnacentral:tmRNA from 1 species
GGGGAUGAUCGGUUUCGACAGCGGAUGUCGAAGCAGGGGAAGCGUGUCGAGGAAGCGGCCAUGAUCUCGUAAACCACAGGCCGAAAAAAAUAAUCGCCAAUACCAAGCGCGAUUCCUCCCACUUCGCUCUCGCUGCCUGAUAAGCAGCUAGCGAAGCUCUCACGGGAGUGUCAGCCCGGGCUUGUUCCCGUCCCGGAUCCUGGCAUCAGCUAGGGGACUAAACCUUGAUCCCGGUCACGGGGUGAAGAGGGAAACCAAACAGUGACUGGGCCCGUCGGCGACUUGUUCGCGUGAUCGCCGGGGCCGAGAAAAGCGAAGCGGACUGCACACGGAGAAGCCCUGGUUCCGCACCGUUGGACGCGGGUUCGAUUCCCGCCAUCUCCACUC